UUUCCGUCGGCGAACCUGCGGAAGGAUCAUUAAUGAGUUGUCAUGGGGUUCGAUGCUGGCAGCCAAUUUUUGGAUGCAUGUGCUUGCCCUAACAAUCAUCUUCCAAACACCUGUGCACAUUUUUGAGGGAGUCUUGAGUUGGUUGCCGCUCUUGGGUGAUUUUCUCACAUUCCCUUAAAUCAUUAUACGCUAUUAACAAUGUUGAACGUGCUCUGUGCCGCAAGGCUAUUAAUAUAAUACAACUUUUAACAACGGAUCUCUUGGCUCUCACAUCGAUGAAGAACGCAGC
rnacentral:misc_RNA from 1 species